rnacentral:rRNA from 1 species
UACAGAGGGGGCAAGCGUUGUUCGGAUUUUCUGGGCGUAAAGGGCGCGUAGGCGGCCGCCUAAGUCAGACGUGAAAUCCCUCGGCUCAACCGGGGAACUGCGUCUGAUACUGGGUGGCUUGAAUCCGGGAGAGGGAUGCGGAAUUCCAGGUGUAGCGGUGAAAUGCGUAGAUAUCUGGAGGAACACCGGUGGCGAAGGCGGCAUCCUGGACCGGCAUUGACGCUGAGGCGCGAAAGCCAGGGGAGCAAACGGG